UGAGCGGGUCUCCUCCCAGGUGGGAUGAGAUUGCUUGUACAGCGCCAGCAAUGAAGGGGAAGAAUGUUUGGCUCCUCCUGUUUGUUUGAGGAGGCACGUUGGAUGGAUGGACGAGUGUUUACUCUGUUAUUAGAUAUUGAUGAUCAGUUGUAGGCUACCCGUAGUCUUACAGAUUGAUUUGCUUUUCGCUGAGCACUGAUUCUGAAUACUGUUAAUUGCGCUUUUGCUACCUGUUUUCAUCAGCAUUUAUACAUGGAUUUUGCUUAUCGUUGCUCACUAAGUGGAAUUUGGUGCAUGACACUGAGCUUACUUGCCCUGUUCUUUGAACUUUUGACUAUUACUCCCUCUGGAAGGAAAUAUAGUAGUGUUUAGAUUACAAAUUUAGAUCUAAACGCUCUUAUAUUUCUCUACGGAGGGAGUACUAUGUGCUGCAAUCAUAGGCUCCGCCUAUGAUAACUUUGCAUGUGCUUGAAAUGAUGUCUGCCGAAUGCACGCUAUAUUUUGUGUUUUGAUGACUGUUGGAGUUGUACUGAAAUUACGCAACAGACGUCUCGUUUUCGACACUUUCUACGUGAGGUGUUGUCUUCUGCUUCGUAGCGAAUUGAUGAUAUAGCAGCUAAAUAAGUCUCAUUCAGCAAGAAGCACCAGUGGUCUAGUGGUAGAAUAGUACCCUGCCACGGUACAGACCCGGGUUCGAUUCCCGGCUGGUGCAUUCAUUUUUUUGCCUGACGACGAAUGAUGUUUCGUUUUUGCCUGAUGAAAUGAUGCGCAUACUUUUCUUUUUUGAAUGCCACGAGAAGAAAGAAAGAAAGGGGGCCUAAAGACAAAAAAAAAACCCUUUUCCUCUGCUCAAGUUUCUAUGGAACAGAACACGUCAUGCGUGCGCGGUGUUCGCUUUCUGUCCAACGAAACCUAGCACACAACAAUCGACGCAACAGUCUGCCUGUGUCCUUUACUUUCGGCCAUGGAGUUUCG
rnacentral:lncRNA from 1 species